UGAAUGAAUUGUAAGGUGAGCAAUUUAGAAGAAAUGACGUGCUCACUUUUUAUCGUUUGAAAUAAAAUGAAAAGUUGUUAUAAGUCAGCGCAACUUUAGUAAAGCGUCCGUAGUCACCGGCUAAAGUCGUGUUUACUUACGAUUUAUUUGAUAAUAUUAAUUGUGACGUGCUUCCCCGCUAUCGGGAGUCAUUCAAUAUGAACCUGGGGCAAGCAGCACUCUUAUUUAUUACUGUAUUUUUCGCAUUAGUGAAUAGUGCAGUUAUUGUGGAAGAUGGUGAUAUAGAUCAACAAGGACUCUACAGUAAGUCGGACCAUCUUGAAAUAUUAACAAAUCGUAACUUUGAAAAGAAAAUUUAUGGACAGAGCCAUGCAGUUGUGGCCCAAUUUUACAAUAGCUACUGCGGUCACUGUAGAGCAUUUGCACCUAAAUUUAAAGCCCUGGCCGGCGAAAUUAUUAAUUGGAAAAAUAUCCUAAGGUUAGCCGUUAUUGACUGUUCUGUUGAAGAAAACAAUGAAAUUUGUAGAGAGUUUGAAGUAAUGGCAUACCCAUCUCUACGCUAUUUACAUGAAUAUUACGUUAAAGGAAAUGGUAAUGUUGGAGAAAAGAUACAGAUAACUGACACACAUGAAAAGCUUAAAGCUCAAAUAAUAACAAAAAUGCAAAGUGAUCAAACAGCAGGCCACUUGAAAUCUGCACCAUCCCUUAGUAUUGAAUCUUACAUGGAUUACAGAGCUGCUGUCCGAGAUGUGCCCAGUGAUAUUAACUACACAUUUUUAGUAUUAGAAAAUGCAAACUCAACAGUGGGUUCAGAGCUUGCCUUAGAUUUAAAUGGUUAUCCACAUGUUAAAGUGAAAAGGGUAUAUGACACUAGUGAAAUUGCUAGUCUGGCGAAUAUGAACCAGUUUCCAGGACUUGUUGCUUUGAGUUCUUCGCUUGAGCCUACAACACUCAUCCCUAGAGACAAUAAGAAGCUGGGCCUACUCAAAGCAGUUAAUUCAUACCUAAAAUCUAAAAACUAUGUAUUCCCAGUGCGGAAUGAAGGAAGCCAGGAAAUACUCACUAAUGAGCAUUCUGAUGAAAAACAAGCGACUCUUGAUACUGAUCUCGUUUUCUACAGUGACUUGGAAAAAACCAUUAAAACUAGUUUGCACACUGAAAUUACACGAAUGAAAACCUUGACUGGUGAACCCCUACAAGCACUAUUAAACUAUCUGGAAGUUAUAAUCACCUCGUUCCCUUUUAGAGGUAAUCUAAAAGAAUACAUGACUGAGUUACAUGCUACUCUAAGCACAAAGGAUUCUUGGGCUGGUAGUGAAGUUUUUGACCUAGUUAAACGUUUAGAAACAGUUCAUGCCCCAGUGUACACUACGAAUUUGGAAUAUGUGAGAUGCAAAGGCAGCCAACCUAAGUUCCGAGGAUACACAUGUGGACUUUGGACACUGUUCCAUACUCUUACAGUAAAUGCAGCACAGAAACCUGGCACAGAAAGUCCUAAAGUUCUGAAAGCUAUGCAUGGAUAUGUUAAGAAUUUCUUUGGCUGCACAGAAUGUGCUGGACAUUUCCAAGCAAUGGCAUCAAGGAACAGAAUAUUUGACGUUAAAGAAAAUGAUAAAGCUGUGCUUUGGCUAUGGAUAGCACAUAAUGAAGUUAAUCUAAGACUGGCUGGUGAUGUCACUGAAGAUCCCGAGCAUCCAAAGAUCCAGUUCCCGAGUGCCAGCAGGUGCCCCGAGUGCAGGCUCACCCGAGGUGCUUGGAACUUACCAGCUGUGUACCAGUACCUCCAAAAUGUUUACGGAGGUUCAAGCAUCCAAUCCACGCGUCGGGCAAGGUCGUCUGUGGCACCAACAAGUCCAUUCUCCAAUUUGGACAUCGGAAUGCUAAGUCUCCUGUACAUAUUAUCUUUCAUUAUUCUUAUUCUAGUCAUAAAAUAUUUUCUAUCUAAACGUUACAAAAAGAGGUUUUACAAACAUGGACGGGGUAAAGUAUAACACACAAUUUUUCAGUAAAAUAGGUUUUAAUUAGUAACAACAAAUUGUCUGCUGGUUGGUUAUUUUUGUUUGUUGGGUUUUCUUCUUCAUUGUUAUGUUGGAUUAUUUAUUUCAUAUUGCAAAAGACUGUCUUUAUAUGUGGAAUCAAUUAUUGCAAUUUUUGGGCGAACUGAUGUAUUUGGGGGAUUCAGUUCAUAAUGAUUAGAAUGUGGCAUGAGAGACCUGUGCAUGAUAUUAUUGAUCUGUCUUCUAUAGUAGACACAAGUUUGUAUUAUAUUAUAAAUACGGUAAUAGGGUGUUUUUAACAUGUUCUUAAGUAUUGAAAAAAUAUGAUUAAUUGCUGAUUAAAAUCACUGUCCACUGAGCGAUGAUGAAAAACAUGAAAAAAAUCAUAGUGAUUUGAAGGGACCAAGCAAUGAUAUAUAAUAUUGAUAUAUGAUUUGAUAACUAUGUAUGUAUAUUACACAAGGGAACAAAAUUAGUCUUGUUUGUUGCAUGUUUUUUUUUUACUAUUUACUAUCUCAAGGUCACUGAUUUCAAAUGUAUUGUUAGUUUUUUCUAACAGUUCUAGUCUUUGAGAUGCACCCACAGGUAUUUUUUUUUAUCUUAGCUACAGUGAACUGCCACUUUGCAUUUUACCAGAAAAAAUCUGCAUGUGUCCAAAAUAAAGUUGGUUAUCAAAAAAAAACGACUUUGAGAUCUGAAAUCAGCACAUUUAAAAACAUAAUUGGACAUAACAGUUCUUGCAAAAAAAUGCAGUUCCCUUGUGUAACAUUACACAAUAUUUUUUUAUUAAUUUUAUCAUCUUUCGCAUGAAACUAUAUUCUCUUUCGGGGGCUGGCGCGCUGCUAUCUAAAUUCCAAUAUAAGAUACAUAUAUGCUCGCAAUUCGACUAGAAUUCGCUUUUUGCCAAGUCUAUGCUAAUUUAUAAACAGCAUUGCGAUUGUAAAGACAACAAUUGAAAGCGUAACUCAUUACGAAAAUGCUAUAAUAUGUUAAGACAACAUGACCUUCACCGUAGCAUCAAAAACUGGUAAUAUGACUUUAACGACAAAUAUUUCUCGAGUUUUUUCUGUUGAUAUACAAUAAUGGCAUUAAAAACAACUUGUUCGGUUUUGUACACACAUUACAUGCAUACACAAUUCGCAUCGCUUUUCACUUCUAUAGCUUAAUUUUCAUAUAAAAGUCGGGAAAUGCGGUUGUAUUAUUAAUUCAAUUACAAUUGACACUAUGCCUUGGACAGAACAGUGAGUGCAAUAUAUUUACCGUUACUUAGCGUAAUAUUAUAUAGUACGUUUCAUCGCAACUGAGUGGAAAUCUUGGACUCUUGGUUAAGGUACAUGUCGGCAUGAUAAGUUGACGUAUCGAGAAAUCAUCGCUUCAAUUGUUUUUAUACUUGAGUCCUGCCGUACCUAAACAAGCUAGUUCUAAGCUAGAAAUAUUGUUAGUUGAAUUUUUACAUGACUACAUUUUUUAUAACGUAAAGAGGUGAUGCAUUUUUGUCUUCGAACCUGUAAUACUUGUUGAUUAGCUGUGGAGAUAAUAUGGAUGGAUCUCAUUUGAAUUUUCAUUGAUUUCAUACAUCAUAGUAUUUUGUCACAUUAUUACUGGACUGCAAUACAGAACUGAAAAUGUU